rnacentral:rRNA from 1 species
AGCGAACGCUGGCGGCAGGCCUAACACAUGCAAGUCGAACGAAGUCUUCGGACUUAGUGGCGGACGGGUGAGUAACACGUGGGAACGUGCCCUUUGGUACGGAAUAACUCAGGGAAACUUGAGCUAAUACCGUAUGUGCCCUACGGGGGAAAGAUUUAUCGCCAUUGGAGCGGCCCGCGUCUGAUUAGCUAGUUGGUGAGGUAAAGGCUCACCAAGGCUACGAUCAGUAGCUGGUCUGAGAGGAUGAUCAGCCACAUUGGGACUGAGACACGGCCCAAACUCCUACGGGAGGCAGCAGUGGGGAAUCUUGCGCAAUGGGCGAAAGCCUGACGCAGCCAUGCCGCGUGAACGAUGAAGGUCUUAGGAUUGAAAAAUUCUUUCACCGGGGACGAUAAUGACGGUACCCGGAGAAGAAGCCCCGGCUAACUUCGUGCCAGCCGCCGCAGUAA